UACGUAGGUGGCAAGCGUUAUCCGGAAUUACUGGGCGUAAAGCGCACGCAGGCGGUCUUUUAAGUUUGACGUGAAAACUCCCGGCUUAACUGGGAGAGGUCGUUGAAGACUGGAAGACUUGAGGCAAUGAGAGGGGUGUAGAAUUCCCGGUGUAGUGGUGGAAUGCGUAGAUAUCGGGGGGAAUACCAGUGGCGAAAGCGGCACCCUAGCGUUAGCCUGACGCUCAUGUGCGAAAGCGUGGGAGCG
rnacentral:rRNA from 1 species